UACAGAGGUCUCAAGCGUUGUUCGGAUUCAUUGGGCGUAAAGGGUGUGUAGGUGGCGCGCUAAGUCGGGUGUGAAAUCUCGGGGCUCAACCCCGAAACUGCACUUGAUACUGCCUUGCUCGAGUACUGGAGAGGAGAUUGGAAUUUACGGUGUAGCAGUGAAAUGCGUAGAUAUCGUAAGGAAGACCAGUGGCGAAGGCGAAUCCCUGGAAAAUACCUGACACUGAGGCACGAAAGCUAGGGGAGCAAACAGG
rnacentral:rRNA from 1 species